rnacentral:rRNA from 1 species
GAUGAACGCUAGCGGCAGGCUUAACACAUGCAAGUCGAGGGGUAGAAGUUGCUUGCAACUUUGAGACCGGCGCACGGGUGCGUAACGCGUAUGCAACCUACCUUUUACAGAGGGAUAGCCCAGAGAAAUUUGGAUUAAUACCUCAUAGUAUAUAACCUUCGCAUGUUGGUUAUAUUAAAGUUCCAACGGUAAAAGAUGGGCAUGCGUCCUAUUAGCUAGUUGGUGUGGUAACGGCACACCAAGGCGACGAUAGGUAGGGGUCCUGAGAGGGAGAUCCCCCACACUGGUACUGAGACACGGACCAGACUCCUACGGGAGGCAGCAGUGAGGAAUAUUGGACAACGGGCGCAAGCCUGAUCCAGCCAUGCCGCGUGCAGGAAGAAGCAUCUAUGGUGUGUAAACUGCUUUUGUACAGGAAGAAACACCCCUUCGUGAAGGGACUUGACGGUACUGUAAGAAUAAGGAUCGGCUAACUCCGUGCCAGCAGCCGCCGUAACAC